rnacentral:lncRNA from 1 species
CAUGUGUGUGUGCGCGCGCGUGUGAUGUGCCGUUGACCGCUGUUGUGUGUGCUUGUGGUGAUGUUGCCUGUGAGUGUGAUUUUUGCCGCUAUCCUGCGUGAUUCUUGGUGCCUCGAGGAUGAGAGGAAGCCACCCAGAAAAUGGCCAGAAGGAAGCACCAUAUGUGCAGGUGUGCUCAUGUGUGUUAGAAGGUGAGUUUGUGCUUCUAAUUUCCUAAACAUUCCUAUUUCAAAUAGAAAACAGCUAUGGUUGGUGAUAAUAAUUAUUGGUGAACAUUGUUAUUGGUAAACCUGCAAACCUGCAUGAUGUCCAUCUUCCUCUUCUUCCUGUUGCAACUAUUGAUGGCCAUUAUUAUUGCAAUUUUAUCCUAAUUUAUGUUCAACUAUUACCAGGUUCUUUGAUUGAAUCCUAAUUCAAACUUCUAACACACGCAAUACUUUUUGAGCAAUUGUAAGAUGAUGCAUACUCUGACAGUGCUUUGGCCACAUAAAAGGUAAAUCCAUCAUUGUGGAGAUGUCAAAGACAUCACAAAAACAAGCAUCUGAACUUUCUUUUUGGAAUGAAACAAAGAUGCAGACUAACAGUAUUAUGUUUUUUUUGACAUCAACCAAUAUGAUGGGUUGGUUCAGGACUUCAGUUAUAUAUCACCAAUAUAAAAAUCUAUUAACCAUAGCAAUUGUUACUUUUUUUAGCUACUCUCAAAUGCUUCUCUAUUUUAAAUACGUAAUAAAUGUUGUCACAAACACCCUAUUUCCACCGCACUAACGACUGUGGCAGGAAGGAGCCCACCGUCGGCGUCUCCCAUGGCCGAGAAGACCGAGGACCCAGCGCCCUCAAGUACGAUGGAGUUCUUUCUGUUGCGACUUAUGGUGAUGACUGAGGAGUUUUGAGAUCAAUCUUGAUCUGCAUAUGACCGUGACCAUGAGGCGAACCUGGUUGCACUUAGAGACAAUUGAUUAAUGGAGAUCCUCCAGUCAUCGAGCUCCUAAAGGACACCUAGGCUAGAAAUCCACGCUUGUCCAUACCGCUUGCCUUUUAGGCCGAACAACCUCGUGAACUUCGACCCCAUCAUGCUAUAAAUAUAAAUAGUUUACAAAUUAACUAAGUUUUUAGAUUGGAUAUUAUUCCACAUCUAUGCGUAUUUUUUUUCUUACUAUGGUAUAUAUCUAACACUAGAAAAUGAGUUGUUGAAAUAUUUUAUACUAAUAAAUCAUUGGUCUAUAGGACAAGGACUCGGCAGAUGAUUCCUCCUUGACUUUCUACCAGCUGCGCCCUGACUGCGUUUACAGCGUCCCCACGCCGUGUUCAAGACCAAGUUCUAACCCACAUAUCCAAUCUCCCUCCAUGGAUCUUGCCUCUCAUUGACCAAGAGCAACAAUUCAACUCAAUUUGAGAUUUACAAAAGAGAUGGACCUAGAGCAAACAACCUGCGAGGCUUGGUUCGUGUCCAUCGACAACGUUGCUGCCGUAUGUCAAGGUAUGUAGCGGCAGCUUUUGUUAUCCUUUCCACACCAGCAAAUGUCAGAAUUUAUCAUGUGGGCAGUUUUUUUACUGUAGUAUGAGUACAAGGUUCAGGGAAGUUCAGUCAUUUAGUAUCUCACAGAUUGUCUAGGCUUUAAAUUUAGGAGAUGAUUUGGAAGCUCAACAUAGAAACUUAUUUAGUCAAAUGUAGAUUACAUAUUAAACGCCUUUUCAAAGCAAGUAUGGAAGAAAAUGUGGUGACCUCUCCAUGAGGAAAUUUAAUAUAACAGUUUCUUUGACUUGAAGGAAUAUUUGCAGAUUUUAAUCUAUAGGAAGUUUGAGGGUAUCCUCAAGUUAACACACUUGAUUCUUACUGCUGCUUAUGCAUCCCUGAACUUCAGUUAAAUUUAUGAUUAUCUGGAUAUUUCCUAUACUUUAUCAAGUGUAGGGUUCUUAAAAUAAGGACAGACAUUUGUUUCACCUUUUGUAGUUCAUCAUAAUAGCAUAUUAUUUUAAAAAAUGGCAAAUUGCCAAGUACAGUUCUGAAGCGGAGAGUUACUUAUGUAUUUUUUUAUUCAUGAAUGACAUGAUCAAGGAGUCAGGUGCAAAAAUGCUUUAUAAAUCAGGUGAGACAACAUGCUAAAAUUUUGUGGCGAUUAGUGAAGGAAAGAACUAUGUACUCUUGUUUCAAGUAGACUUCAUCGCCUUAUUGUUAGAGUCAGCUUCACCUCCCAUUGUUAUAUUCUUGAAGUGAAUAUUAUGCCCCCCACCCCCCACUCCCCAUUUAUGUUGUUGAAAAUGGCAAUCGCUUGAUCUUUGAAUCAUGCAACUGCCUAUCUACAAAUCAUAAAUGAACAAAUAAAACGUACUGAUAUAUCCAAAUAGUUGAGUAUCCUGCUUGUAGAAUUUGUUCCUAUUUAUCCUUUUGUCAUUUUUACAUAUGGGCAUCCGGUGUUUGCGGCAUCUCAAAGUUUACAUUUUUAAGUUGAUAUAUUGUACACGUUGGAAUUUUGUGUUGUGCCUCAAAGUUUGCCCUUUUUACAAGUAGAUGCAUUUUAGUUAUAGAUACAUCCCUUGUUGUCCAUUUUGAUGACAAGUAUUUUCGGACGGAGGGAGUAAUAUAUUGUGUAUUUUGUUGAUGAUUUGUUGCUGAGAUAUAUUCCAAGUGAUAAUCAUACAUUAUAUGUUUGCUCCUCCAUGUUAGGAGAGGAGUGGAAAUAUGGUUAAAUUCUAAAUAUGAUAUUAUGCAGCAUGACCAAAAUAUCACAUCUUAUUAAUCCCUUUCUCUUGGCAGUGUGCUACAUCUGGUCGCUCAAGGCCAAGGAGGUGAUGAAAGGCUUCUUGAUAAGUUUUUAGCUAUCUGAUUCAAAUCCAUAUAGCUUGCGAGAUGAUGGCAUAGUAUUAUCUGACAUUUUAUCUGUAUUUGAUUAAAUGUCUUUCCCUUUAAGAAAUAUAGUGCAAUGGAAUUGAAUUUUAGAAACUACCGUUGGUUACUAUUAUUUGUGAAUUCUAUUUAACGCUUCACGAUUUUUUCCCGGUUCCAGUUCUUGUAAAGGAUAUGAUAAUCAUUUAAACAAAG